rnacentral:rRNA from 1 species
GUGCUCUUUGGGUCUGUGGAGAUUGGCCUCGGAGUCGCGCUUUCCAUAUCCUUUGCAAAGAUCAUCAUCCAGUCACUCCGGCCUCAGGUGGAGGGUCUGGGCAGGCUACAAGGAACAAACAUAUUCUGCAGCGCCAGGCAGUACCUCGUGGCAUGCCGGACACCGGCCGUGCAAGUCAUACGCAUCGAUACAUCCUUCCUCUGCUUCAUCAAUGCGACUUUCAUCAAAGAGAGGAUCAUGGAGUGGGUAAGGGUAGAAGUGGACACAUACAAUGAGAAGGUCGGGGAAAGGGUGCACUCAGUUUUCCUUGACAUGUCAAAUGUGGUGAACAUUGACACUUCAGAACUGUUGGGAUUGGAAGAAAUUCACAAGGAGCUGGCGUCCCUCGGCAUACAGGUGAAAUGGCUAUUGCCAGUCUAG